CCUACGGGUGGCAGCAGUGGGGAAUUUUGCGCAAUGGGGGAAACCCUGACGCAGCAACGCCGCUUGCGGGACGACGGCCCUCGGGUUGUAAACCUCUUUCAGCAGGGAAGAUCCAAGACGUUACCUGCCGACGACGCUCCGGCUACCUACGUGCCAGCAGCCGCGGUAAUACGUGGGGGGCGAGCGUUAUCCGGAUUCCUUGGGCGUAAGGCGCGCGUAGGUGGCCGCCUAAGCGGGUACUCUACCCCCGGGGCUCACCCCCUGGCCGGGUCCCGGACUGGGGGGCUGGAGUGGGGUAGAGGGGAGCGGAAUUCCCGGUGGAGCGGUGGAAUGCGCAGAUAUCGGGAAGAACACCGAUGGCGAAGGCAGCUUGCUGGGCCGUAACUGACGCUGAGGCGCGAAAGCUGGGGGAGCGAACAGGAUUAGAUACCCGGGUAGUC
rnacentral:rRNA from 1 species